rnacentral:tRNA from 1 species
GUUUAGGUAGUUUAUAUAAAAUAUUAACUUUGGAAGUUAAUGAACGAUUUUAUCGCUUAUUUA